CCUUCGGGACAGGAAGACAGGUGGUGCAUGGUUGUCGUCAGCUCGUGUCGUGAGAUGUUGGGUUAAGUCCCGCAACGAGCGCAACCCCUAUACUUAGUUGCUAGCAUUUGGUUGAGCACUCUAAGUAGACUGCCGGAGACAAUUCGGAGGAAGGUGGGGAUGACGUCAAAUCAUCAUGCCCCUUAUGUUCUGGGCUACACACGUGCUACAAUGGGUAUAACAACGGGAAGCGAACCAGUGAUGGCAAGCAAAUCCCUAAAAAAUACUCCCAGUUCAGAUUGUUCUCUGCAACUCGAGAACAUGAAGUCGGAGUUGCUAGUAAUCGCGAAUCAGCAUGUCGCGGUGAAUACGUUCCCGGGCCUUG
rnacentral:rRNA from 1 species